AUGAACGCUGGCGGCGUGCUUAACACAUGCAAGUCGAACGAUUAAAGCUCACUUCGGUGAGUGUAUAGAGUGGCGAACGGGUGAGUAACACGUGGGUAACCUGCCCCUCACACCGGGAUAACUCAGGGAAACUUGAGCUAAUACCGGAUACUCCGGACUGAUCGCAUGGUCGGUCCGGGAAAGUUCCGGCGGUGAGGGAUGGACCCGCGGCCCAUUAGCUAGUUGGUGAGGUAACGGCUCACCAAGGCAACGAUGGGUAGCCGGCCUGAGAGGGUGACCGGCCACACUGGGACUGAGACACGGCCCAGACUCCUACGGGAGGCAGCAGUGGGGAAUAUUGCAC
rnacentral:rRNA from 1 species